ACUACGUGUUCUAAAUUGGUUAGACAUUAUACCUAUUUGAAUUGCCUUCACUCCUGAGUCUCUGAGUGUCAGGUUCAAGCUGUUGACCGAUGAGGUUCCUUAUGCUUGUGAACAAGUUAGAUUCUAUACACAUAUGAAUCUUCCCCAUAUUCGAAUAUCUGAAUGUCAGACUCAAGCUGAUGAUAUAUGAGGUAUGGUCCUCGCUGUAUCAAUCAAGUUCCAUUGAAAUAUUGAAACGUUGUUCAUACAUCUUUGAAUGACCUUUUAUGUGCAGACAAUAUGUUCUGAAA